AACGAACGCUGGCGGCAUGCCUAACACAUGCCAGUCGAACGAGACCUUCGGGUCUAGUGGCGUACGGGUGCGUCACGCGUGGGAACCUGCACUUAGGUUCGGCAUAACUCUCCGACAGGGGUGCUAAUACCGGAUAAUGUCUUCGGACCAAAGAUUUAUCGCCCUUGGAGGGGCACGCGUUGGAUUAGCUAGUUGGUAGGGUAAAAGCCUACCAAGGCGACGAUUCAUAGCUGGUCUGAGAGGAUGAUCAGCCACACUGGGACUGAGACACGGCCCAGACUCCUACGGGAGGCAGCAGUGGGGAAUAGUGGACAAUGGGCGAAAGCAUGAUCCAGCUAUGCCGCGUGAGUGAUGAAGGCAUUAGAGUUGUAAAGCUCUUUUAACCGGGAUGAUAAUGACAGUACCGAGAGAAUAAGCCCCGGCUAACUCCGUG
rnacentral:rRNA from 1 species